UACGGAGGGUGCAAGCGUUAUCCGGAUUUACUGGGCUUAAAGGGUGCGUAGGGGGGGCUGUAAGUCAGUGGUGAAAUCUCCGAGCUUAACUCGGAAACUGCCAUUGAUACUAUAGGUCUUGAAUUAUCUGGAGGUAAGCGGAAUAUGUCAUGUAGCGGUGAAAUGCUUAGAUAUGACAUAGAACACCAAUUGCGAAGGCAGCUUACUACGGAUUGAUUGACACUGAGGCACGAAGGCGUGGGGAUCAAACAGG
rnacentral:rRNA from 1 species